AACGAACGCUGGCGGCAGGCUUAACACAUGCAAGUCGAGCGCCCCGCAAGGGGAGCGGCAGACGGGUGAGUAACGCGUGGGAAUCUACCCAUCUCUACGGAAUAACGCAUGGAAACGUGUGCUAAUACCGUAUACGUCCUUCGGGAGAAAGAUUUAUCGGAGAUGGAUGAGCCCGCGUUGGAUUAGCUAGUUGGUGGGGUAAAGGCCUACCAAGGCGACGAUCCAUGGCUGGUCUGAGAGGAUGAUCAGCCACACUGGGACUGAGACACGGCCCAGACUCCUACGGGAGGCAGCAGUGGGGAAUAUUGGACAAUGGGCGCAAGCCUGAUCCAGCCAUGCCGCGUGAGUGAUGAAGGCCCUAGGGUUGUAAAGCUCCUUCACCGGUGAAGAUAAUGACGGUAACCGGAGAAGAAGCCCCGGCUAACUUCGUGCCAGCCGCCGCGGUAAUAC
rnacentral:rRNA from 1 species